GAUGAAGAACGCAGCGAAAUGCGAUACGUAAUGUGAAUUGCAGAAUUCAGUGAAUCAUCGAGUCUUUGAACGCACAUUGCGCCCCCUGGUAUUCCGGGGGGCAUGCCUGUCCGAGUGUCAUUGCUGCCCUCAAGCACGGCUUGUGUGUUGGGCCUCCGUCCUCCUCCCGGGGGACGGGCCCGAAAGGCAGCGGCGGCACCGCGUCCGGUCCUCGAGCGUAUGGGGCUUCGUCACCCGCUCUUGUAGGCCCGGUCGGCGCUUGCCGACACAUCAAUCUUUUUUCCAGGUUGACCUCGGAUCAGGUAGGGAUACCCGCUGAACUUAAGCAUAUCAAUAAGCGGAGGA
rnacentral:misc_RNA from 1 species